rnacentral:rRNA from 1 species
AGUGAACGCUGGCGGUAGGCCUAACACAUGCAAGUCGAACGGCAGCACAGUAAGAGCUUGCUCUUACGGGUGGCGAGUGGCGGACGGGUGAGGAAUACAUCGGAAUCUACUUUUUCGUGGGGGAUAACGUAGGGAAACUUACGCUAAUACCGCAUACGACCUACGGGUGAAAGCAGGGGAUCUUCGGACCUUGCGCGAUUGAAUGAGCCGAUGUCGGAUUAGCUAGUUGGCGGGGUAAAGGCCCACCAAGGCGACGAUCCGUAGCUGGUCUGAGAGGAUGAUCGGAGCCAGUGGAAGUGGGAGAGGGUCCAGAGCACUACGGGAGGGCGCAGUAGGGAAUGUUGAGGAAUGGGCUGGAGCUUGACGGAGCAACGCAGAGUAAGUGAGGAAGGUUUGCGGCUCGGAGACAUCUGUUAUUAGGGAAAAAAAAACGUGGCAGUAAAUAUGCCUGUCUGGAGGGUAAUUAAUAAGAGGGCAAGGAAUGAGUACGUG